UUUUAGCAAAAAAAAUUAGUUUCGACCUAAAUAAUAAAAAGCUAAAAC
rnacentral:tRNA from 1 species